AGGCUUGUAGCUCAGGUGGUUAGAGCGCACCCCUGAUAAGGGUGAGGUCCGUGGUUCAAGUCCACUCAGGCCUACCA
rnacentral:tRNA from 1 species